CUGUGAAAAACCCAAACCAGCAGAGCUAUUGGCAGGAGAUGGGCAGAUGGGUGGGCUAUGAAGAGACCUAUGAUGUUGAGGCGGGCCGCUGGGGCCAGUCCCACAUCUCCUACCUCACCUUCAAGAGCCUGGUGCAGAUACGCAGGACAAUGAACACGGGUGUGAUGAUGCUGGACAGAGAGGAGAAGACGCUCACCAGUAUUAUUGAGAAGAUUGUGGAUGCCCUGGUUAGCAAAAAGGAGAUUCAGCCUGGGGACAGGGAUAAAGUUCUUCAAGCAUUAAUGCACAAACAGAGCCAGUCUGUGGAGACCCAGCUUCUGACUUCAGGUGUGGAAAUGGAGAAAUUCUCUGUCACAGAGAAAAGGGAUGCAACUGACACAUCAGAGGCCUCGAUGGUGCUUGUAGGUGCUUUGGAGUUCCUGCAGAGGCCUACAAUAGUAUUUGUGCGUCUACGGGAUGCUGUGGUGCUGGAGUCGGCCCUGGAAACUCCUGUGCCUGUGCGGUUCAUCUUCAUUCUGAUUGGCCCAACCACAGCUGAUGUGGACUAUCACGAGUGUGGCCGAACAAUGGCAGCACUACUAGCUGACAAAGUGUUUAACCAGGCAGCUUUUCAGGCUCAGAAUGACAGAGAGUUGAUCGAUGCUUUGGGAGACUUCAUGGACUGCUGCAUUGUGAUUCCACCCACUGAGAUUCAGGAUGAGUCCAUGCUAACAUCACUCAUCCCCUUCCAGAAGAAACUACUGCAAGAGAAACUCCGCCCAUCUGACCCCAAACUCCGCCUGGAUGUCAAACCUCGCAAGCCUUCAAAGUCCUCAGGACCCCCUUCAGAAGAUCCACUAGAACGUACUGGUGUUCUGUUCGGUGGCAUGAUUAGAGACAUGAAGAGACGGUAUCAACACUACGUCAGUGACAUCACUGAUGCUCUGAACGCUCAGGUUGUCGCUGCAAUCAUCUUUAUCUACUUUGCUGCUCUUUCCCCAGCCAUCACCUUCGGAGGUCUCCUUGCUGAUAAGGUGGAUAACAUGAUGGGUGUUUCAGAGCUGAUGAUCUCCACUUCAGUGCUGGGCGUUAUCUUCUGCCUGAUUGCUGCCCAACCUGUACUAGUUAUCGGCUUUUCUGGGCCACUGCUGGUGUUUGAAGAGGCCUUUUUUAAUUUCUGUAAGUCUCAAGACAUUGAGUACAUCGUAGGCCGAGUAUGGGUUGGCGCUUGGCUGGUGGUCAUCGUUGUGGUCAUUGUUGCCUUUGAAGGAAGCUUCCUGGUCCGCUUCAUUUCUCGCUUCACUCAAGAAAUCUUCUCCAUCCUCAUCUCCCUCAUCUUCAUCUAUGAGACCUUUGCCAAACUUGGCAGGGUUUUCAAAGAACACCCUCUUAUCCUGAAUUACGAGCAAUUAAACAGUACACUUGAGGACCCUUGGCACUCAGAAAUCAACGAGCAGAGAUUCCUGGACAAUGCUACAGGCAACGUGUCUGUGGUGAGGUCCGUUCAACACCGGCCUUAUCCCAAUACAGCUCUUCUGUCCAUGUGUCUCAUGUUUGGCUGCUUUUCUAUUGCAUACUACCUACGCAUGUUCAAGAAUGGCAAAUUUCUACCAGGCAAGAUUCGACGUUUGCUUGGUGACUUUGGAGUUCCCAUUGCAAUUUUCCUCAUGGUUGCUGUCGAUAUCAAUAUUGAAGAUACAUACACUCAGAAACUGGUUGUGCCUAAGGGUCUACAGGUGUCCAACCCUAAAAUGCGGGGAUGGUUAAUCAACCCUAUGGGUGAACACAAGUCCUUCCCCAUAUGGCUGAUGUUCGCAUCUAUUGUCCCAGCUGUGUUGGUCUUCAUCCUCAUCUUCCUAGAGUCUCAGAUUACCACACUAAUUGUGAGUAAACCAGAGAGAAAAAUGGUCAAGGGCUCUGGCUUCCACAUGGAUCUUCUCAUCCUGGUGAGCAUGGGAGGUCUGAGUGCCAUUUUUGGCAUUCCUUGGUUAAGUGCCGCAACUGUACGAUCCGUAUCUCAUGCCAAUGCCCUGACUGUCAUGAGCAAAGGCCCAAAACCAGAGAUUGAAAAGGUUCUGGAACAGAGAGUCAGUGGAGUAGUGGUGGCUUUGCUUGUUGGUCUGUCCAUUCUCAUGGAGCCCAUUCUAAAAAUGAUUCCUAUUACAGCUCUCUUUGGAAUCUUCCUCUACAUGGGAAUCACAUCCCUCAGUGGGAUUCAGCUUUGGGAUCGAAUCCUGCUCCUCAUUAUUCCCAAAAAGUAUCACCCCAAUGAACCCUAUGCUACAAAAGUAUGUGUCUCUCAGAUGUUCUCACGUCUACCAUUACUCUGUUGGAGUACUUUGCAUUUCGGUUUUUCCUUCUUUGUAUAUGUUACAUUCUCAAGGUUGGUUGCCUUUUGCUUGAGAAACCAAUUGACCCUGGUCUCUGUCUCCCUCUGCAGGUCAGCACCAGUAGGAUGCAUGUGUUCACUGCGAUCCAGAUCGUGUGUCUGGCAAUCCUGUGGAUGGUGAAAUCGAGCCCUGUGUCACUGGCUCUACCGUUUGUCCUGAUCCUCACCAUCCCUCUGCGCAUGUUCAUGACUGGACAACUUUUCACUGAGCAAGAGAUUAAAUAUCUUGACGGUGAUGAUGCCAAGGCAACAUUUGAAGAGGAGCCAGGAGUGGAUGUGUAUUCUGAAACUCAGAUGCCAUUAUAGAUCAUUUUUCUGGAACCAGAUUCAUAUUUCACAAUCUGAGUCAGCAGAAUUAGAGUGCAGCCAACAUAUGAAAAUUUUGACAAAAUGAUACCCAACUUUAACCCCAUUAUAAUGCAACUUUUUAACAAACUCAUUUUAUUGAUGUGUGUGUGUGUUGGGAUUCUCUGUUAAUUAUUGUUAUAAUGGUCAUCAUGACAUGCUAAAUUUGUAUGUACAAACAAGUGCCUUUUAUGAGGUCUUUAAAAUCAGAUAGGACCAGCACAUCACAAAGAUAAGAUAUUGUUCUUCAUUACAAAUAAAUACUUUGUCUUGUUGGAGGAGUAGAUUGCUAUCUAUCUAUCUAUAAUAA